rnacentral:rRNA from 1 species
CCUACGGGAGGCAGCAGUGGGGAAUAUUGCACAAUGGGGGAAACCCUGAUGCAGCGACGCCGCGUGAGUGAAGAAGUAAUUCGUUACGUAAAGCUCUAUCAGCAGGGACGAAAAUGACGGUACCUGCGUAAGAAGCCCCGGCUAACAACGUGCCAGCAGCCGCGGGAAUACUUAGGGGAUAACGGUCAGCCGGAUUUACUGGGUGUAAAGGGAGCAGUGACGGAGUGCCAGGUCUGGAGUGAAAUGCCUCAGCUUAACUGCGGAACUGCUUUGGAAACCGGCGAACUAGAGUGCUGGAGGGGUAAGCGGAAUUCCUAGUGUAGCGGUGAAAUGCGUAGAUAUUAGGAGGAACACCGGUGGCGAAGGCGGCUUACUGGACCGUAACUGACGUUGAGGCUCGAAAGCGUGGGGAACAAACAGGAUUAGAUACCCGAGUAGUC